rnacentral:rRNA from 1 species
CCUUGCCGGCGUUGCCUAAUUACAUGCAAGUCGAACGAACUCUGGUAUUGAUUGGUGCUUGCAUCAUGAUUUACAUUUGAGUGAGUGGCGAACUGGUGAGUAACACGUGGGAAACCUGCCCAGAAGCGGGGGAUAACACCUGGAAACAGAUGCUAAUACCGCAUAACAACUUGGACCGCAUGGUCCGAGUUUGAAAGAUGGCUUCGGCUAUCACUUUUGGAUGGUCCCGCGGCGUAUUAGCUAGAUGGUGGGGUAACGGCUCACCAUGGCAAUGAUACGUAGCCGACCUGAGAGGGUAAUCGGCCACAUUGGGACUGAGACACGGCCCAAACUCCUACGGGAGGCAGCAGUAGGGAAUCUUCCACAAUGGACGAAAGUCUGAUGGAGCAACGCCGCGUGAGUGAAGAAGGGUUUCGGCUCGUAAAACUCUGUUGUUAAAGAAGAACAUAUCUGAGAGUAACUGUUCAGGUAUUGACGGUAUUUAACCAGAAAGCCACGGCUAACUACGUGCCAGCAGCCGCGGUAAUACGUAGGUGGCAAGCGUUGUCCGGAUUUAUUGGGCGUAAAGCGAGCGCAGGCGGUUUUUUAAGUCUGAUGUGAAAGCCUUCGGCUCAACCGAAGAAGUGCAUCGGAAACUGGGAAACUUGAGUGCAGAAGAGGACAGUGGAACUCCAUGUGUAGCGGUGAAAUGCGUAGAUAUAUGGAAGAACACCAGUGGCGAAGGCGGCUGUCUGGUCUGUAACUGACGCUGAGGCUCGAAAGUAUGGGUAGCAAACAGGAUUAGAUACCCUGGUAGUCCAUACCGUAAACGAUGAAUGCUAAGUGUUGGAGGGUUUCCGCCCUUCAGUGCUGCAGCUAACGCAUUAAGCAUUCCGCCUGGGGAGUACGGCCGCAAGGCUGAAACUCAAAGGAAUUGACGGGGGCCCGCACAAGCGGUGGAGCAUGUGGUUUAAUUCGAAGCUACGCGAAGAACCUUACCAGGUCUUGACAUACUAUGCAAAUCUAAGAGAUUAGACGUUCCCUUCGGGGACAUGGAUACAGGUGGUGCAUGGUUGUCGUCAGCUCGUGUCGUGAGAUGUUGGGUUAAGUCCCGCAACGAGCGCAACCCUUAUUAUCAGUUGCCAGCAUUAAGUUGGGCACUCUGGUGAGACUGCCGGUGACAAACCGGAGGAAGGUGGGGAUGACGUCAAAUCAUCAUGCCCCUUAUGACCUGGGCUACACACGUGCUACAAUGGAUGGUACAACGAGUUGCGAACUCGCGAGAGUAAGCUAAUCUCUUAAAGCCAUUCUCAGUUCGGAUUGUAGGCUGCAACUCGCCUACAUGAAGUCGGAAUCGCUAGUAAUCGCGGAUCAGCAUGCCGCGGUGAAUACGUUCCCGGGCCUUGUACACACCGCCCGUCACACCAUGAGAGUUUGUAACACCCAAAGUCGGUGGGGUAACCUUUUAGGAACCAGCCGCCUUAAAGGGGGACCAGU